GCAAGUCGCACGGGCAGCAAUGUCAGUGGCGGACGGGUGAGUAACGCGUAGGAAUGUGUCCAGAGGUGGGGGACAACCCCGGGAAACUGGGGCUAAUACCGCAUAGGGGCUGAGGCCCACAGCCUAAAGGCGCCUUUGGAGCGGCCUGCGUCCGAUUAGGUAGUUGGUGAGGUAAAGGCCUACCAAGCCUGCGAUCGGUAGCUGGUCUGAGAGGACGAGC
rnacentral:rRNA from 1 species